AUUGAACGCUGGCGGCAGGCCUAACACAUGCAAGUCGAGCGGAUGAAUGGAGCUUGCUCCUGUAUUCAGCUGCGGACGGGUGGGUAAUUCCUAGGAAUCUGCCUGGUAGUUGGGGAUAACGUCCGGAAAGGGGCGCUAAUACCGCAUACGUCCUUAGGGAGAAAGUGAGGGAUCUUCGGUCCUCACGCUAUCAGAUGAGCCUAGGUCGGAUUAGCUAGUUGGUGGGGUAAAGGCCUACCAAGGCGACGAUCCGUAACUGGCCUGAGAGGAUGAUCAGUCACACUGGAACUGAGACACGGUCCAGACUCCUACGGGAGGCAGCAGUGGGGAAUCUUGGACAAUGGGCGAAAGCCUGAUCCAGCCAUGCCGCGUGUGUGAAGAAGGUCUUCGGAUUGUAAAGCACUUUAAGUUGGGAGGAAGGGAAGUAAGUUAAUCCCUUGCCGUCUUGACGUUACCAAAACAAUAAGCACCGGCUAACUUCGUG
rnacentral:rRNA from 1 species